UUACGUGGAAACCUGAACUCAAGUGUUGCCCAAUCGAGGUGUUUCCACUCCCGAACCCCACCCGAGCAUUCCCACCAACACCCGGGGGUCUAACGUAAGUACCCACAACACCUGUAACACAAACCACACGCUUCAACUCUGCGGUGUGUGUAUAGCUGUACUCACGCGUGGACGAGGAGGGGGACCAACACACAGAAAGUACGCCACACAGGAAGCGUGGUCGAAGCGGCUGCCAUCACGCUGCUCUACUUUAUGAAAUGAAGUAACUGUUUACCAGAUGGGAUACGGAGAGAGGAAGAAAGAGAAUAUCUCGAUGGCCUCCUUGGGGAUGAAUAAGUGGAAGAGCCGGACAUGUCUUCUUGGCACAGACUCGUGAGGAAGCUGCUGGAAGGGACCGUGUUGCAGAGCGUCCCCCGGGGGACGCCGAAGAAGAAGAAGAAGAGGGGAGGAGACGAGUCGAGGAAGCAGAAGUUCGGUUCCAAAGAAGCGCCACUGACUCCCCUCGAUGACCGCAAACCGAAUGUUUUCAGAAAGAAUAUCAAUCCAUCCUUCGUUGAGCCGUUCACACUCUGUCAGAGGUAAGUUUAAUAUGGUGAAUGGUGCAACACAGCUUAUAUGCUUCAUGUACUUUAUCUCGUAGGCGUUCUUGUAAUUUCAGUGAAUGUAGAAUGAAACAUUUAUAUUGCGUCUGAAUUUGUAUGUAUUAUAUUUUUGGAAAUGACCGUCCAGAUAGGAGAAGUAGACCAACAGACAAAUAUAAGUUCCUAUUAUUUUGCUCUGUU